rnacentral:rRNA from 1 species
GACGAACGCUGGCGGCGUGCUUAACACAUGCAAGUCGAACGCCGUGGCGAACGGGUGAGAUACGCGUAAUCAACCUGCCCUUCAGAGGGGGACAACAGGUGGAAACGACUGCUAAUACCGCAUACUUAAGGUGGUGGUUGCGUGUGAUUAGCUAGUUGGAGGGGUAACGGCCCACCAAGGCGAUGCUCAGUAGCCGGUCUGAGAGGAUGACCAGCCACAUUGGGACUGAGACACGGCCCAGACUCCUACGGGAGGCAGCAGUGGGGAAUCUUCCGCAAUGGACGAAAGUCUGACGGAGCAACGCCGCGUGAGUGAUGACGGCCUUCGGGUUGUAAAGGACUUUUGUCAGGGAAGCGGUACCUGAAGAAGAAGCACCGGCUAACUACGUGCCAGCAGCCGCGGUAAUUC